CUCAGGGCCGCACCACCGCUCCUCGUGUCCCUCCGCGCCUCACGGCUUCGCGACCUCAAGCCGCAGCCGCAUUGCCGCCGUGCCUCGUGUCCCUCCACGGCUCCGGUCGCCGUCACUUUGCCCUCCCUGUCCCACCGCCAUCACAACAGGUAGCUGGUCACCCGUGUCCUGCCAGGAGCACAUUCCAGCGCCAGGGAUAUCCCAGGUGGAGGUGUCUGUGCUGGCAUGGUUCUGAGAUGGGCACGGCCUCUGCUGAGAGCUUUCCUCAGCACAGGGGAGAAUAAAUCACUAGGGAGUCCCUGAGACAAACUGUGUGGGAAGAGGAGGCUGCUGAACAGAAGUCUACUGGAGACAUCAAGAAGGAAGAAUUCCCAGCUUGGGAAGUAGGAGGGCCCUGAAGAGAGAUGAACCAGUGCAUGAUAAGAAACCAAGAGAGUGGGUGUUGGAAGCAGACUGUUAGCCAGCAACGACUGACAGCUGUAUAAAAUUCUGGAGACAGGAUGCUUGAGGACAGAAUGUCACCUGAAUGAGCUACUCCCUACACUAACCAGAAGGUGACUGGACAAUUUAUUGUGUACUUAUUGAAAGGAAGGCUAAAGAAUCAUUUUUGUUGGUGAGUCUUGCAACAAUGUUAUUAUGUACAAGCUCUAAGAGAAAAA